CUGCUGGAGUAAAAGGAGAAGGAGCUGCAUGGAGGUGCACAGCAUGCCUGGGCAGGAGAAAAGCUUUAUCAACUAGACCAGUUGUGGAUGUUCAGAAAAAGGACAAAAAGCACAGUCAGAGCUGUAGAAAACAAGAUGUGCAGAAAUAUGGUUUAUUUAAUCUUCACAUAAGAGGACUGAAAUGAACUUACAAAGCAGCUGCAGAUAAGAGAAAGACAAACAGCUCUUCAUGUGCGCUGAUGAUAGGACAAAGAGUAAUUGGUUUCCACCCCACUAAGAGAACUUCAGGUUGGCUACCCUAGGAGACUUCUGAUGUGAUUAAUUUUGUGCUAGGAAGUCUUGUUCAAGAAUCUGUGAAACCUCCACCCCAGGAGGGUCUCAUAAACAGCUGAGGCAGGAAUGAUUUAAGUGUUCAUGAGACCAGCUGAUCCUGCCUUAGAGGAGUUGAAGAGUUGUAGGUUAAAACACGUCUGUGAAAUAUCUUCCAACAUUGUCUCCAAAUAUCUCAUUUUAUUUUCUCAAAUACCUUGGAUUAGGACAGGACUCAUGGCUCAGAAUUGAUUCAAAGUUUGGGGUUGUUCAUGCCUUAGCCAAGACGUUGGGUUCCACAGCUCUCUCCAUUUCACAUCCAUUUCACUUUCCAGCUCAUGCAGAGUGGGGUGAAAACCAAAAUCCAAGCAAGGCACCAGCACUGGGACCAUAACCUCACAGGCAGCCAGCCCCUGGCUGUUGAUAUCAGAGCCUUGCAGAGCUUCCUCACCUGCUACCAUCUAAUCCCCACAGUGCUUAACCUGAAUCCUGACCCCUCUCUUUCCUGCUCAAGUGGCACCUCCUCAGGGAAAGAACUGAGUGUACAACAGUGAACCUUUCUUGGAUGCCAGGCUCAGGAAUGAUCACGGACAGAAACCCAGGGAAAGAACUGAGUGAAGAACAGUGAACCUUUUUUGGAUGUCAGGCUCAGGAAUGGUGAUGGACAGAAGCUGUUAAAGUGCAGAACAAGGCCAAAGCUUGAGGCUGCCCGGGUGCUGCCCUGUGCUGUCAGACCAGUUCCUCUGCCCUUCUUCUCACCCAAAUACCCAAGCUCAGAGCAGAAAGGACAAGCUGCCUCUCAGCUGACUUGCAUCCCCUUGCAGGGCUGUAACUGUGCAGGAGGCAUGAAGGCAGGCAGGUCAGCACCAGACCCACCUCAGAGCUCCCAGUUUGGUUUUCUGAAAGCAGAAGCAAGAGCUCCUCACCAUCUCAGGAACUACAUCAGUAUCUAAACCUGGAUGUAACAACACAAAAUUGUGACAAAUGUCACAAAAAUGUGACUUCUGCCUCAAAUGAGAACUUCCAUGAAAUGGCAUCUGCUGAAGAGCUCAUGGGAAGGAAUAUUCCAUUUUCCUACCCCAAGGAAGAAGCUUGGGGAACAAGAGACCUCUUCCCAGACAAAAGAUGGAGAGGUUAUGUCACACACCAAAUAUGCAGAAAUGGAAGUGCAGGAACAUUACACCAAUCACUGCUAAUCAACAUCACCUCAUCCAGCCAAAAUGGCAGUAAACUUGGGAGUGUCUUUGAAAAAGACUAAAUAACAGAAUUAUCUUAAAAAAAGAAAAAAGUCAGAGUUUUGCCAAAACCUAUUAUAUGCACU